GAUGAACGCUAGCGGCAGGCCUAACACAUGCAAGUCGAGGGAGAGGUUACCUUCGGGUAACCAACACCGGCGCACGGGUGCGUAACGCGUAUACAAUCUGCCUUUCACAUAGGGAUAGCCCGAAGAAAUUUGGAUUAAUACCUAAUGGUAUAUAAGGGCGGCAUCGUUUUUAUAUUAAAGCUACGGUGGUGAAAGAUGAGUAUGCGUUCUAUUAGCUAGUUGGAGAGGUAACGGCUCCCCAAGGCGACGAUAGAUAGGGGUUCUGAGAGGGAUGUCCCCCACACUGGUACUGAGAUACGGACCAGACUCCUACGGGAGGCAGCAGUGAGGAAUAUUGGACAAUGGUCGGAAGACUGAUCCAGCCAUGCCGCGUGCAGGAUGAAGGUCCUAUGGAUUGUAAACUGCUUUUGUAAGGGAAGAAUAAGGAGUACGUGUACUUUGAUGACGGUACCUUACGAAUAAGCAUCGGCUAACUCCGUG
rnacentral:rRNA from 1 species